CAUAGCCUACGGGAGGCAGCAGUAGGGAAUCUUCCACAAUGGGCGAAAGCCUGAUGGAGCAACGCCGCGUGGGUGAAGAAGGUCUUCGGAUCGUAAAACCCUGUUGUUAGAGAAGAAAGUGCGUGAGAGUAACUGUUCACGUUUCGACGGUAUCUAACCAGAAAGCCACGGCUAACUACGUGCCAGCAGCCGCGGUAAUACGUAGGUGGCAGGCGUUAUCCGGAUUUAUUGGGCGUAAAGGGAACGCAGGCGGUCUUUUAAGUCUGAUGUGAAAGCCUUCGGCUUAACCGGAUGAGUGCAUUGGG
rnacentral:rRNA from 1 species